GGUCUCUGCUCCGUCUCUGUGUUUCUUAAGACUUCCAGCUUCAUCACGGAGUUUCUCUCGGCUUUUUGUGGGCUCAUCUAAAGCUGAGUAACAGGAGGAGAAGAGUGGUGGUGCAGCAGAGGAUAAAUUUCAGCCAUUUGGACUCAGCUCAGCCACUACAGAGGAAAGAAUGUCUUCAACACAAAAGGACCAACAUGGAGCAAGAAGUCAGCGCUCUCAGGAGGCCGACAAACCUUACAGAAGAAAGGGAGAGGAAACCUACAGCUGUGAUGAGUGUGGGAAGUAUUUUGUCCAGGCUGGAGACUUGAAAACACACCAACUCAUCCACAGUGGAGUUAAACCUUACAGCUGUUACUUGUGUGGAAAAUCUUUUACCCAGG